GGAGGUAUCAGAAGUGCGAAUGCUGACAUAAGUAACGAUAAAGCGGGUGAAAAGCCCGCUCGCCGGAAGACCAAGGGUUCCUGUCCAACGUUAAUCGGGGCAGGGUGAGUCGACCCCUAAGGCGAGGCCGAAAGGCGUAGUCGAUGGGAAACGGGUUAAUAUUCCCGUACUUGGUGUUACUGCGAAGGGGGGACGGAGAAGGCUAUGUUGGCCGGGCGACGGUUGUCCCGGUUUAAGCGUGUAGGUGUGUGUUCCAGGUAAAUCCGGUUCACUUUAACACUGAGGCGUGACGACGAGGCACUACGGUGCUGAAGCAACAAAUGCCCUGCUUCCAGGAAAAGCCUCUAAGCAUCAGGUAACAUCAAAUCGUACCCCAAACCGACACAGGUGGUCAGGUAGAGAAUACCAAGGCGCUUGAGAGAACUCGGGUGAAGGAACUAGGCAAAAUGGUGCCGUAACUUCGGGAGAAGGCACGCUGACACGUAGGUGAAGUGAUUUACUCAUGGAGCUGAAGUCAGUCGAAGAUACCAGCUGGCUGCAACUGUUUAUUAAAAACACAGCACUGUGCAAACACGAAAGUGGACGUAUACGGUGUGACGCCUGCCCGGUGCCGGAAGGUUAAUUGAUGGGGUCAGCGCAAGCGAAGCUCCUGAUCGAAGCCCCGGUAAACGGCGGCCGUAACUAUAACGGUCCUAAGGUAGCGAAAUUCCUUGUCGGGUAAGUUCCGACCUGCACGAAUGGCGUAAUGAUGGCCAGGCUGUCUCCACCCGAGACUCAGUGAAAUUGAACUCGCUGUGAAGAUGCAGUGUACCCGCGGCAAGACGGAAAGACCCCGUGAACCUUUACUAUAGCUUGACACUGAACAUUGAGCCUUGAUGUGUAG
rnacentral:rRNA from 2 species